rnacentral:rRNA from 1 species
UCCUGACUGACCGAUAGUGAACCAGUACCGUGAGGGAAAGGCGAAAAGAACCCCGGCGAGGGGAGUGAAAAAGAACCUGAAACCGUGUACGUACAAGCAGUGGGAGCACGCUUAGGCGUGUGACUGCGUACCUUUUGUAUAAUGGGUCAGCGACUUAUAUUCUGUAGCAAGGUUAACCGAAUAGGGGAGCCGAAGGGAAACCGAGUCUUAACUGGGCGUUAAGUUGCAGGGUAUAGACCCGAAACCCGGUGAUCUAGCCAUGGGCAGGUUGAAGGUUGGGUAACACUAACUGGAGGACCGAACCGACUAAUGUUGAAAAAUUAGCGGAUGACUUGUGGCUGGGGGUGAAAGGCCAAUCAAACCGGGAGAUAGCUGGUUCUCCCCGAAAGCUAUUUAGGUAGCGCCUCGUGAAUUCAUCUCCGGGGGUAGAGCACUGUUUCGGCAAGGGGGUCAUCCCGACUUACCAACCCGAUGCAAACUGCGAAUACCGGAGAAUGUUAUCACGGGAGACACACGGCGGGUGCUAACGUCCGUCGUGAAGAGGGAAACAACCCAGACCGCCAGCUAAGGUCCCAAAGUCAUGGUUAAGUGGGAAACGAUGUGGGAAGGCCCAGACAGCCAGGAUGUUGGCUUAGAAGCAGCCAUCAUUUAAAGAAAGC